ACACUGGGACUGAGACACGGCCCAGACUCCUACGGGAGGCAGCAGUGGGGAAUAUUGCACAAUGGGCGAAAGCCUGAUGCAGCGACGCCGCGUGAGGGAUGACGGCCUUCGGGUUGUAAACCUCUUUCAGCACGGAAGAAGCGAAAGUGACGGUACGUGCAGAAGAAGCGCCGGCUAACUACGUGCCAGCAGCCGCGGUAAUACGUAGGGCGCAAGCGUUGUCCGGAAUUAUUGGGCGUAAAGAGCUCGUAGGCGGUUUGUCGCGUCUGCUGUGAAAGCCCGGGGCUUAACCCCGUGGUGUGCAGUGGGUACGGGCAGACUAGAGUGCAGUAGGGGAGACUGGAAUUCCUGGUGUAGCGGUGAAAUGCGCAGAUAUCAGGAGGAACACCGAUGGCGAAGGCAGGUCUCUGGGCUGUUACUGACGCUGAGGAGCGAAAGCAUGGGGAGCGAACAGGAUUAGAUACCCUGGUAGUCCAUGCCGUAAACGUUGGGCACUAGGUGUGGGGGACAUUCCACGUUUUCCGCGCCGUAGCUAACGCAUUAAGUGCCCCGCCUGGGGAGUACGGCCGCAAGGCUAAAACUCAAAGGAAUUGACGGGGGCCCGCACAAGCGGCGGAGCAUGCGGAUUAAUUCGAUGCAACGCGAAGAACCUUACCAAGGCUUGACAUACACCAGACCGGUCCAGAGAUGGUCCUUCCCCUUUGGGGUUGGUGUACAGGUGGUGCAUGGUUGUCGUCAGCUCGUGUCGUGAGAUGUUGGGUUAAGUCCCGCAACGAGCGCAACCCUCGUUCUAUGUUGCCAGCACGUGAUGGUGGGGACUCAUAGGAGACUGCCGGGGUCAACUCGGAGGAAGGUGGGGAUGACGUCAAAUCAUCAUGCCCCUUAUGUCUUGGGCUUCACGCAUGCUACAAUGGCCGGUACAAUGGGUUGCGAUACCGUGAGGUGGAGCUAAUCCCAAAAAGCUGGUCUCAGUUCGGAUCGUGGUCUGCAACUCGACCACGUGAAGUCGGAGUCGCUAGUAAUCGCAGAUCAGCAACGCUGCGGUGAAUACGUUCCCGGGCCUUGUACACACCGCCCGUCAAG
rnacentral:rRNA from 1 species